UUCCGGUUGAUCCUGCCAGACCCCACUGCUAUCGGGAUAGGACUAAGACAUGCUAGUCGAGCGCUUCAGCAAGAGGCGCGGCACACAGCUCAGUAACACGUGGCUAAUCUGCCCUUAGGACGAGAACAACCCCGGGAAACUGGGGCUAACUCUCGAUAGGCGAAGAACACUGGAAUGUGUCUUCACCCAAAUAGUGCAAGGUAAUGCUCUUUGCACCGCCUUANGAUGAGGCCGCGGCCGAUCAGGUUUGUUGGUGAGGUAAUGGCUCACCAAGCCUUUUACCGGUGCGGGCCGUGAGAGCGGGACCCCGAGAUGGGU
rnacentral:rRNA from 1 species